AAAGAGUUUCCCCUCAGGGAAAUAUUUCUGAUUCUGAUUCUGAAAUAUAUAUAUCUUGUGCGACAUGCAAGAUAUGUCCAAAUCUGAGUAAUCUGUUAAAAGAGGUGUAACGUGUUCGCGCCACCACUCCCCAUGGUCGCUGCUUCUCUAACCCAAACCUAGAACUGGUUUGGCCAUCCUUUGUCCACUCUCUUCCUCUUCCUCUCAUCUCUUCCGCUUUUAUGCUCGGAACUCUUGGCUUCAUGCCAUGCUGCCUUUUCUCCUGAACUGAACUGAAGGACUGGAGAUGGGUUUGUCUGGUCAAACGAACCAGGCCGCCCCAAAACAAAACCAUCUACAGCAGAGACCCAGAGUCUCUCUCUCCUCUCCUGUAUGAUCCCGACCCCUUCAGCUCACCCCUCCACAGGCUGCAGCCCCAUCGGACUAGUUUUUAGUGAUGUCACCGUGUUCACAGAUCUCAGCCAUUAACGUGGGAUGAUUUCACUGGGUUGAUAAAACUGGACACAUGACGUUCAGCAGAUGGGGCAACUGUUUUUUCAGGGAGCACUGUGUAGAGAUGACAUAUCUGGUGUGGGGAUGAAAGAUGCUCAGCCAGGAGGCCCUCUGUGUGUAGAAAAUGCGAUCAUCAUCAAUGAUGUUUGCUUGCUGCGGUUGGGCCUGUUUCAUGUAAACUACUGCAAACAUGCAACAAAUAUUAAGCAUUAGCAAAAAAAAAAGCUAAUGCAUAAUACUUCAAUUUCUUCCCACAGCAAACUCAAGCUUCUAAAUGUACUGCAAUUAAAGUUCAGCAUCAGCAAACACG